rnacentral:rRNA from 1 species
CCGAGUUGUAAUUUGUAGAGGAUGCUUCGGGCGUGGCCGCGGUCUAAGUCCCCUGGAACGGGGCGUCGCAGAGGGUGAGAAUCCCGUCUUCGGCCGGCCGGCUUCGCCCGUGUGAAGCUCCUUCGACGAGUCGAGUUGUUUGGGAAUGCAGCUCUAAAUGGGUGGUAAAUUUCAUCUAAAGCUAAAUACUGGUCGGAGACCGAUAGCGCACAAGUAGAGUGAUCGAAAGAUGAAAAGCACUUUGAAAAGAGAGUUAAACAGCAUGUGAAAUUGUUGAAAGGGAAGCGCUUGCGACCAGAGUCGGCCGCGGGGGUUCAGCGGGCAUUCGUUGCCCGUGCACUCCCCCGGGGCCGGGCCAGCGUCGGUUUCGACGGCCGGUCAAAGGCCCCCGGAAUGUGUCGCCUCUCGGGGCGUCUUAUAGCCGGGGGUGCAAUGCGGCCAGUCGGGACCGAGGAACGCGCUUCGGCACGGACGCUGGCUUAAUGGUCGUAAGCGACCCGUCUUGAAACACGGACCAAGGAGUCUAACAUCCACGCGAGUGUUCGGGUGUCAAACCCGUCCGCGCAGUGAAAGCGAACGGAGGUGGGAACCCUCAAGGGUGCACCAUCGACCGAUCCUGAAGUCUUCGGAUGGAUUUGAGUAAGA